ensembl:snoRNA SNORD33 Small nucleolar RNA Z195/SNORD33/SNORD32 family
GAGGCUGGUGAUGAGGACUUUUCUCACUCAUGUUUGAGUUUCCCAACCAUGAGAAGACUCCACACUCAUUACCAUCUGAGGCCAC